rnacentral:misc_RNA from 1 species
ACUCGCACUGCAAGAUUAUAGUCCAAACACACGUCAGAUAGGCAAAAUUUCACAAGUCAUAACAAUAGAAUUUGAAUGCACAAACCCAUCUGCCAAAUAACGCCAUUCUAGGCAGGCUCAUUUGAUUUUCAAAUAAUAUUAAAGGCAAAAAUGAAAAAUUUCAUGAUUUCAACCAUUAACAGCCCAAAAUGACACAGCACAUCAUUUGCGCCUCUUCUGUAAUUUGCAUGUAAAAGCAGGGAAAAUACACCAAAGCAUAACAGAGAUAUUUUCUUUGGAAAGACAUUAAGCAAAAUAAAACCUAAUAGCCAAAUCUUCCCUCUGUUUCCUAGACAUUUUUUCUUAAAAAAAGAAAAAAAACAAGGGAAAUAUAAUUUCAAUGUGUAAAAUUUCCCUUUGUAUUAGAUGCAUAAAUUAGAACAUGAAAGGGAAGAACAUAUACCAAAUCCAAAUUGCUGUUCAA